rnacentral:pre_miRNA from 1 species
AGUAGCAAAUGCUCGAGCAAGCCGAACCCUCGUUGACCGAAGCGGAGGAGGGUUCCCCGCCAACAUCGCUUGGUCGUGGAUAAGUCGGCCCUUAGCCCGAGGAUAGCUUCC